GAUGAACGCUGGCGGCGUGCCUAAUACAUGCAAGUCGAGCGAAUGGAUUAAGAGCUUGCUCUUAUGAAGUUAGCGGCGGACGGGUGAGUAACACGUGGGUAACCUGCCCAUAAGACUGGGAUAACUCCGGGAAACCGGGGCUAAUACCGGAUAACAUUUUGAACCGCAUGGAUCGAAAUUGAAAGGCGGCUUCGGCUGUAACUUAUGGAUGUACCCGCGUCGCAUUAGCUAGUUGGUGAGGUAACGGCUCACCAAGGCAACGAUGCGUAGCCGACCUGAGAGGGUGAUCGGCCACACUGGGACUGAGACACGGCCCAGACUCCUACGGGAGGCAGCAGUAGGGAAUCUUCCGCAAUGGACGAAAGUCUGACGGAGCAACGCCGCGUGAGUGAUGAAGGCUUUCGGGUCGUAAAACUCUGUUGUUAGGGAAGAACAAGUGCUAGUUGAAUAAGCUGGCACCUUGAUGGUACCUAACCAGAAAGCCACGGCUAACUACGUGCCAGCAGCCGCUGUAA
rnacentral:rRNA from 1 species